GCUCGCAUAGCUCAGUUGGUAGAGCGCGUGACUAGUACUUCCUAGUUUCUAGUCUAUCACGAGGUCUGUCGUUCAAAUCGGCAUGUGAGCA
rnacentral:tRNA from 1 species